AUGACGGAGAGGGAAGGAAACCGGAAAACGCCAGGAGGAGACGCGUCUUGGAGUCGAUCAGACAGAACAAGGAACAAAACCUUCCUUCUCCGGGAAAGAUCUGCACCCCUGGUUGGCGGCAUUCCAGCUUUUGUCCAGUUCAAAGCCCGGAGACGUCAAACCGGAGGACGCCCAUCAGCUGGUUUCUCGACGCGCGCAUCUGGACGUAGCGAACAGUGCGAGGCCUGCGCUGGAUGGAUUCAACAAUUCACAAGAGGAAAUCUCCAGAUGAAACACUGUGUUGAAUGCUUUGUUCUGCAAAAUAUUUCCAACUGACAAUAGUAGAAAAAGUUCAAAUUCAUGAUUAAAAACUCUCAAACUUAAAAAAAAAAAAAUAAAUGGCAACUGUUACAAAACAUUUUUUGAGAGCAAAAUAUUUAUUUUAGUAAAGUAGAUACAUUUGACAGAGGAUUGGUAUAGAAUUGAAAGAGCAGAGAUACUCCCCAAGUAGAAAGUAUUUUUUAAUCUCAUGUUUAAUUUGAAAAAUUGUUUGAAUAUAUUUUUCCUUUCCAAUAUACAGCUGUGAUUUCUUGUACAGAAAAUAUCUGUUAGGUGGCUACAAGUAUUGUUUUGUCUUUUUAAGCCCAAUGUGACACCUAAUAAAUGUACCUUAUUCUGUUUAAUGUAACUUCUAAUAAAAGUUAUUCUUCCCACCUCAGCAGAUCCUGUUUAACUUUCCAAAUGUUUUGGGUUUGGUUUUUAUUUGAUUUUCUGGCACGUUUUAAUUUAUUAUAUUCCAUUUUUUAUUAAUUAUAAAAUACAUGUGUUUCUCAUUGAGAAUGUGUUAAAUUAGUGCAACAUAAUAAGGACAAAAUGUAAAGAUGAAUUUAUAUUAAGAUCCAAAUAAUCAGUUUGGAUUCUCUUGCCAAAUGUUUCAAGAUCUAUAUGUAAUGAAUUAUAUUUCCACUGAAAAACCCUGGUGCCUAAAGGGUUAAAAUAAAUCUAUGAUUAAUCAGAAAGAAACAUUAGAAAUAUUCAGUCAACAUUUGCAACACUUAAAAAAUAAAAUAAAAUAAAGACAAACGGCACUCAGCAGCAGGGAGGCGCUGUCUCAAAAAACGAGUCCUUAAAUCGUCCUGA
rnacentral:lncRNA from 1 species